UGGGGAAUAUUGGACAAUGGGGGAAACCCUGAUCCAGCAAUGCCGCGUGAAUGAUGAAGGCCUUCGGGUUGUAAAGUUCUUUUAUAGAUGACGAUAAUGACGGUAGUCUAUGAAUAAGCACCGGCUAACUUCGUGCCAGCAGCCGCGGUAAUACGAAGGGUGCUAGCGUUGUUCGGAAUUACUGGGCGUAAAGGGUGCGUAGGCGGCCUUAUAAGUGAGAUGUGAAAUACCUGGGCUUAACCUAGGAACUGCAUUUUAUACUGUAAGGCUUGAGUGAGUGAGAGGAAGAUGGAAUUGUGCGUGUAGAGGUGAAAUUCGUAGAUAUGCACAAGAACACCAAUGGCGAAGGCAAUCUUCUGGUGCUCAACUGACGCUAAUGCACGAAAGCGUGGGGAGCAAA
rnacentral:rRNA from 1 species